rnacentral:rRNA from 1 species
CCCUUAGAUGUCCUGGGCCGCACGCGCGUUACACUGAUGCAUUCAACGAGCUUAUAACCUUGGCCGAGAGGCCUGGGCAAUCUUGUUAACGUGCAUCGUGAUAGGGAUAGAUUAUUGAAAUUAUUAAUCUUGAACGAGGAAUUCCUAGUAAACGCAGAUCAUCAAUCUGCAUUGAUUACGUCCCUGCCCUUUGUACACACCGCCCGUCGCACCUACCGAUUGGAUGGUCCGGUGAAGCCUCGGGAUUGUGGUUCUUGCCGCUCUAUUGUGGCGUGACCGCGAGAACUUGUCUAAACCUUAUCAUCUAGAGGAAGGUGAAGUCGUAACA